CCCCCGUAGUUCAACGGACAGAACAGUUCCAUAGGGUUACUAUACUUACCAUGGACAGGAAGAUGGAGCAGAUGCGGGUUCGAAUCCCGCCGGGGGACCA
rnacentral:tRNA from 1 species